CAACAAUAAAUAUGGCGGAAUCUCUAUUGUCAAACACGGAAGAAGAAGGAUACAACCAUAAUUAAACCAAGAAGUUUAUGAAGAAGGGAUCACUGGAUUUUGUCACUUUGGUACAAGAAACAGAAAAGGAUAUCAUAGACCACCUUACUUAUACAGAAGCUGUUGAAUGAAAUUGCUGCCAGACAGUCAGCAGUUAUCACUGACAGCCUGUCCUGGCCCAGCUUGGACCAUCCUCAAGCUAACCAUGAUGGUGUGUUUGCAAGAAUUGUCCAUUUGGUAGACCAUGAUGAAGACCAGCUUUGUUGUGGCAUGUCCUGACAAUACUGUACAAGCCAGAGACCAAAAAAGGGUUAAGUGGUGACUGAUCCUCUCACUCUCCUUAUCCAGGAAACGUUUUGGAACAACGUGUUGACACUGAAGAUGUGGAGGACACAGAUUGAUCACAGUACAUCCUUUGGAUACAUGGACACCUUCAACGGGACGACAACAAAACUGUACCUGCCUUUUUUUUAAAGGAAGUAGUUAAUAAAAUUAUUGUUAACAGCUUUUUUAGUCUUGUUGUUUAAAAAUGCUUGCAACAUUUAAGUGGAUAAACGGUUGUUUAAAAUUUGAAUCUUCAGUAAUGCAUUCUUUAAUAAAUGAUGUAAUCUUAUUUCUUUCAAUAUAGUGUAAAUAAUAAGAACAUAAUUAUCCUUUGUAUACAAAAUGAAAACCAAGUUUACUGUUCUAUUAAUCAUUAUUUAUUUAUCUUGUUCUUUUGUCAGAAAUAUCACAGGGGCAUACAUACAGUAUUCCUUAAAUAAAAGGGGCAGUUCUUAGAAAAUUAACAUGUAUUUUAGCAAUGCAUAUUCAAACUUUUUCCACCUUUAUAACCAGCAACAAUAUGUAAGUAUUAUAAUGUAACACAAAUUAAUACUAUGAAUUUACUACUGAUUUUGCCGUGCCUGACAUCAAAUAAACAUGUUUUACUGAAAGUUUCUUAAAAGAUGUUAUGUGGAAGACUUCAUCAAUCAUUUAAUUAAUAUUUGAGCCUCGCUCUAGGAAAAGGGGGUAUAAUGCAUGUACUUAAGGUUGUCCAAGAUUAGGCUGUGCAUACUGCACAGGCUUAUCAGGGGCAACACUUUCCGCCUUAUCUGGAUUUUCUCUAAGAGACACCCUUUCAACAAAAAAUACAAUAACGCAGCAAUUGUCUGCCUGAUUGGUAUGAUCAGCACAUGUUAAUCUCGUACGACAAUUUACGCACAUGCAUAAAGCCCCAUUUCCCCAGGGCAAGGCUCACCUAUUUAGGUUUUAGCUGUCUAUAUGCUCUUUAACUUUUGAAUCAUGAUGCAGUUUCAUAUAAUUAUGUAUUAUGAGUCGUUUUUAAUUGAUGUAUAUUCUUUUGUUCAGUGUUGAACUCAACAUGUAUUAUAAUAAGGUGUUCACUUAACAUUCUUGCAGUAAUGUUUUGCUGUGUAAUAUACAUGUAAUAAUAAAUCAAAAUUGAACAACUAGCUGCUUAUUUCUUCAUGUUAUUUAUUAA